GUGAGCAGAGCACGGGCCCAUGGGCCCCACGUGUUCACGGUUCGUGAGGCCACUCAUGCAUGUGCCGAGGUUGCCCACAGAGCCACACACUCACAGAUCACAAUUGGGGCCUAAUCCUUGGGAGCAGCUAGUUAGAAAUGUGAGAGCUAUCAGCUGUAGCAAAUGGUUGGUUUGGAAAGAGGAAAUUAGAGAAGACCCGUCAUCUGACGAACCUUCUGCUGUCUGCCAUCAGAAAUAAAAUGGAGCUAUAUACGGAGACAGACGUGUAUUUUUCAAGCUCCAGUGGAUGACAAACAAUCGGAUGAAGAAGACGACCAGAGAACUCUUUGGUAUAUUUUUAUUUUCUUUAUUUUGCCUUGUGUUAAAUUGUCCUUCUAUUGUACUACCAAUUGUUUUUCUUGAUAUGAAUCAGAUAUGAGACACCUUUAUGGUGUCUUACUCGAAAAAAACAAUCUAAUAAUCUAUCUUUUAAUUUGGGGUUAAUUA